ACGCACGCUGGCGGCGUGCUUAACACAUGCAAGUCGAACGGAAAGGCCCUGCUUUUGUGGGGUGCUCGAGUGGCGAACGGGUGAGUAACACGUGAGUAACCUGCCCUUGACUUUGGGAUAACUUCAGGAAACUGGGGCUAAUACCGGAUAGGAGCUCCUGCUGCCUGGUGGGGGUUGGAAAGUUUCGGCGGUUGGGGAUGGACUCGCGGCUUAUCAGCUUGUUGGUGGGGUAGUGGCUUACCAAGGCUUUGACGGGUAGCCGGCCUGAGAGGGUGACCGGCCACAUUGGGACUGAGAUACGGCCCAGACUCCUACGGGAGGCAGCAGUGGGGAAUAUUGCACAAUGGGCGGAAGCCUGAUGCAGCAACGCCGCGUGCGGGAUGACGGCCUUCGGGUUGUAAACCGCUUUCGCCUGUGACGAAGCGUGAGUGACGGUAAUGGGUAAAGAAGCACCGGCUAACUACGUG
rnacentral:rRNA from 1 species